rnacentral:misc_RNA from 1 species
GAUGAAGAACGUAGCGAAAUGCGAUAAGUAAUGUGAAUUGCAGAAUUCAGUGAAUCAUCGAAUCUUUGAACGCACCUUGCACCCUUUGGCAUUCCGAAGGGUAUGCUCGUUUGAGUGUCAUUGUACUCUCACUCUCCCGAUGCUUUUGGAUCGGGAGUGGUGGACUUGGGUGUUGCUGCUUUGCUGUGGCUCGCCUCAAAUGGAGUAGUGCAACUCUUGGUUGGACAUAGUACGGCGUGAUAAGUGUCUUCGCCGGCGCCUCAUUAUAGAGGGUGGCCGAUCGGGAGCUCUGUGCUUCAAACCGUCUUCGGACAACAUCUGACAACUUGACCUCAAAUCGACUAGGACUACCCGCUGAACUUAAGCAUAUCAAUAAGCGGAGG